GAUGAACGCUGGCGGCGUGCCUAAUACAUGCAAGUCGAGCGAACAGACGAGGAGCUUUCUCCUCUGACGUUAGCGGCGGACGGGUGAGUAACACGUGGAUAACCUACCUAUAAGACUGGGAUAACUUCGGGAAACCGGAGCUAAUACCGGAUAAUAUAUUGAACCGCAUGGUUCAAUAGUGAAAGACGGUUUUGCUGUCACUUAUAGAUGGAUCCGCGCCGCAUUAGCUAGUUGGUAAGGUAACGGCUUACCAAGGCAACGAUGCGUAGCCGACCUGAGAGGGUGAUCGGCCACACUGGAACUGAGACACGGUCCAGACUCCUACGGGAGGCAGCAGUAGGGAAUCUUCCGCAAUGGGCGAAAGCCUGACGGAGCAACGCCGCGUGAGUGAUGAAGGUCUUCGGAUCGUAAAACUCUGUUAUUAGGGAAGAACAAAUGUGUAAGUAACUAUGCACGUAUUGACGGUACCUAAUCAGAAAGCCACGGCUAACUACGUG
rnacentral:rRNA from 1 species